AUUAGAACGCAGGUGGCUGAAAUGUUAGGAUGCAGAAGGGUGAACUGGGAACAUAUAUUAUGUUGUUUGGCUGGGAUAUGUACGCAGAAGAUCCAGAGAACAGAGUUGAAUUCUUUCUACUGGCAAACAACACCUAAGAUUGAAUAAGAGAUACUUCCUUGACUGCACUCCUUUUAACUGACGGCCAGAGAUCAUUUUUGAAUAAAGGAUGCAUGAAGAUAGCUCAAAAAACUCUUCAGAAUAGAGAAUCACUUCGGCAUGGCAAUACUCCUACAUCAAACAUUGAACAGUUGGUGGCCUGAAUUCCCAACAGGACCCCUUGGCAAAGCAGAAAUGCUCUUAUUGAAGGACAACUGGUUCCAAAAUAAGAGAUAUUGUGACAGAGGAAUAAAGGUAGACCUCAGCUACGCGACUGGGAAAGAGAAUGAACUACAAAUACAACGUAUGGAUAUUUUGUCAGAGAGGAAAAUGAACUUUUAAUUGCUCUGUG